rnacentral:rRNA from 1 species
UUGGAGGGCAAGUCUGGUGCCAGCAGCCGCGGUAAUUCCAGCUCCAAUAGCGUAUAUUAAAGUUGUUGCAGUUAAAAAGCUCGUAGUUGAAUUUCGGGAUCAAUAUUUCGGUCAUGCCGUUGGUAUGCACUGUUAUCAUUGAUUUCUCACCUUCUAAAGAACCGUAAUGCCAUUAAUUUGGUGUUACGGGGAAUUAGGACUGUUACCUUGAAAGAAUUAGAGUGUUUAAAGCAGGC